rnacentral:snRNA from 1 species
ACACUCUGGUUCUCUCAGAUGAAUAAAUCUUUGCCUUUUACUAAAGAUUUCCAUGGAGAGGAAUAACUCUGAGUUUUACACCAAUUUUUUGAGGGCUUGCCCUGGCAAGGCU